ensembl:lncRNA
CUUUCAUGAGAUAUAAACUGCAAAUGAUAUUCUAAAGUGGAUUUGUUAAGGAUGUGAUCUAAAUCAUAAAUUGAUUGAAAGUGAACAUCGUGCUUGCGCUGGGAUCGCAAAUUAAGGGUGGGUCCUGGGUUCACAGAUCCUCUGUGUGGCAUCCAAGGUGAAUAAGACGUGGAACAUUCUUGAAGCUCAUUCCUCCCCUCAGCUUCAGUCAGAAGUUCAAAGUUAGUUCACUGCUUUGCUUGGAGGCUUUGUUGCCGACCAUAAUGGGAACACUUCCAUUGGGUUGGUCAAUAAAUAUACAUAACCAAAUCUGAUAAGGAAUCAUCCAGAUCUUCUCCAAGUCUCCGAGUCCCUUGGAGCAUUAGAGGUUAGCUCUUGAUUUCACUUUUCCACCUUGAAAAACUGACUUAAGAACUUUUGUGCCUCUGAGUCCCACUGCAGAAGACGAGGCCCCUCAUGAAUUCUGUGGGUGUUUGGUUCUUAAAGGACUUGCAGUGAUGUUCAUCCAAACGUCUCUAGAACUUCAUCACCAACACACAUGUGGACUGGAAAGUGAAAAAGGGAACUGUCACUGCCUCAGUUUAUCAGAGUUCUGCCGCUGGACUCUAAAAGGCACUCCAUAACCGGGUAAAUUUGGACGGCACCCCGAGCCUGUCCGGGGCCCGUCUGGGAAGCUGUGUGAGGCACAAGCGCUCGGCCCUGUUUUUGAGAAGAUGCACCACGCGCGGGAGGAGAGGAAGCCGGCACCGGAAGGAACAGGCGUUGUCACAGAGCACCGCGGAAACCCAGGCCCGAGAGGCUACUCCGCGAGGUUCCCCUGCCCAACCCGCCCCCCGCCAAGGUCAGCCGCCUGGGAGCUUCCGCAAUUGCUGGUGCACCACCAUCGCCAGAGGAGCCUGGUGGGCUACUAUUCACAGGGUCACAAAGAGUUGGACAUGACUGAAGCAGCUUAGCGCACACACAGACUUGUUGCAGGAACCCAGAUGAGCC